GACGAACGCUGGCGGCGUGCUUAACACAUGCGAGUCGAACGCUGAAGCUUGGUGCUUGCACUGGGUGGAUGAGUGGCGAACGGGUGAGUAAUACGUGAGUAACCUGCCCUUGACUCUGGGAUAAGCCUGGGAAACUGGGUCUAAUACUGGAUACGACAUGUCACCGCAUGGUGGUGUGUGGAAAGGGUUUUACUGGUUUUGGAUGGGCUCACGGCCUAUCAGCUUGUUGGUGGGGUAAUGGCUCACCAAGGCGACGACGGGUAGCCGGCCUGAGAGGGUGACCGGCCACACUGGGACUGAGACACGGCCCAGACUCCUACGGGAGGCAGCAGUGGGGAAUAUUGCACAAUGGGCGGAAGCCUGAUGCAGCGACGCCGCGUGAGGGAUGACGGCCUUCGGGUUGUAAACCUCUUUCAGCACGGAAGAAGCGAAAGUGACGGUACGUGCAGAAGAAGCGCCGGCUAACUACGU
rnacentral:rRNA from 1 species